AACCAGGCAUGGAGUUUAUAGUGAGGACCUGUAGGACGUGGCUUCCUGGGAUGUGCGGGCUGACGGGGCCAGCUGUGACUGAGUGCACAAUUUAAAAGAAGCAUUUCUGUCUCAUUCAUACCAGCAGGGCUCAGCUUGGGGAGAAGAGAAGGCAGAUCAUGGAAAUGACCAGUGCUGGGGACUGACAUGGUGUGGCAGAAGAAUGGAAAGAGGCCCAAACACGUUUUGUGAAAAAUCCUUUUUAAAGCAUACUCCAAAUCAGAAUCUUUUAGGAUGGUGCUCUGAAAUUUGCAUUCCUAAUAAGUACCCUGUUAUUGUGUUUCAGUCUUGCAGUUACUGUCUUUCCACAUGUCUCCAUGUGUAAGAAUUUUUCCAGGUUGGACCCUUGGAAGUAGACUUCCUGACUCAGAAAAUACCUACUCUUUUUGACAAAACCCCACCUAUAGUUAAAUUCAAUUACCUAGCUACUCUGCACAGCACCCACGCAACUGAAUAUGGCUGGAGAAAACACAAGCUUGCUGAACACGAAUUUUAAUGACUACAAAUCCCAGGCAAUAGAAAGUUUCCCAUGGUGGCUGGCAGCUGGUGAAAAGGAUGGAAGAACUUCAGAGAAGAGGAAAUAAGAAUAAUGGCUAAGCAAGAUGGUGGCCAUCAAGGACAAAAGAAAAAAAU
rnacentral:lncRNA from 1 species